rnacentral:rRNA from 1 species
GCUUCAAUUGCCGGCGACCGGCGCACGGGUGCGUAACGCGUAUGUAACCUACCUAUAACAGGGGCAUAACACUGAGAAAUUGGUACUAAUUCCCCAUAAUAUUCGGAGAGGCAUCUCUCCGGGUUGAAAACUCCGGUGGUUAUAGAUGGACAUGCGUUGUAUUAGCUAGUUGGUGAGGUAACGGCUCACCAAGGCAACGAUACAUAGGGGGACUGAGAGGUUAACCCCCCACACUGGUACUGAGACACGGACCAGACUCCUACGGGAGGCAGCAGUGAGGAAUAUUGGUCAAUGGACGCAAGUCUGAACCAGCCAUGCCGCGUGCAGGAAGACGGCUCUAUGAGUUGUAAACUGCUUUUGUACGAGGGUAAACUCACCUACGUGUAGGUGACUGAAAGUAUCGUACGAAUAAGGAUCGGCUAACUCCGUGCCAGCAGCCGCGGUAAUACGGAGGAUUCAAGCGUUAUCCGGAUUUAUUGGGUUUAAAGGGUGCGUAGGCGGUUUGAUAAGUUAGAGGUGAAAUCCCGGGGCUUAACUCCGGAACUGCCUCUAAUACUGUUAGACUAGAGAGUAGUUGCGGUAGGCGGAAUGUAUGGUGUAGCGGUGAAAUGCUUAGAGAUCAUACA